rnacentral:rRNA from 1 species
AGAAUCAACGCUGGCGGCGUGCCUAACACAUGCAAGUCGAACGCGAAAGGGGCUUCGGCCCUGAGUAGAGUGGCAAACGGGUGAGUAACGCGUGGGUGACCUGCCUUCGAGUGGGGGAUAACGUUUCGAAAGGAACGCUAAUACCGCAUGACAUCCUGCCUUUGGACAGGCGGAGAUCAAAGCCGGGGACCGCAAGACCUGGCGCUUGAAGAGGGGCCCGCGUCCGAUUAGCUAGUUGGUGGGGUAACGGCUCACCAAGGCGACGAUCGGUA